rnacentral:rRNA from 1 species
UACAGAGGUCUCAAGCGUUGUUCGGAUUCAUUGGGCGUAAAGGGUGCGUAGGCGGCGCGGUAAGUCGGGGUGUGAAAUCUUGGAGCUUAACUCCGAAACUGCAUUCGAUACUGCCGUGCUUGAGGACUGGAGAGGAGACUGGAAUUUACGGUGUAGCGGUGAAAUGCGUAGAUAUCGUAAGGAAGACCAGUGGCGAAGGCGGGUCUCGUGGACAGUUCCUGA